UCAUCAGGUAGGAUAAUCCUCACCUGUUCCUCCUUUUGGAGGGCAGAUACAGAGUGAAGUAAGUCAAAAAGAGAACAAAUGUACAAUAUCGCUUAUAUGUGUAAUCUAGAAAAAUGGUACAGAUAAACUUAUUUGCA
ensembl:snoRNA U8 U8 small nucleolar RNA